CAGCUUUGUUAACUCAGAGAUUUGUCCAACUUGAAAUUUUAGGCAGUGUCUUUGUCGGAAAUUGAAAUUUCGCGUAUGAAAGAUUCUAUGAGUUAGUAAACUAAAACUCAAAUGCUAGAAGAAAAAACUUUCUCGUUUUAAUAAAAGUUUUGUCAAAUUGCUUCCUAACGCUAGCUGCCUCAGUUGACUGAAAAUAAAAUAAUAAUGAAACAUAAUUGGAAACUCUUUUUUUUUAAUGAUGUUUCAAUUUGCUAAAGUUAUAACAGCUCAGAGUUUCGUUUAAAAUUGGAGCACUUUAGUUAGUCGAAAAGUGCUCUCUAUUUCCCCUCAAGAAAGAACUGAUUAAUAAAGUUGGCAGAUUGGGUUGUCUAUUUAAGUAGCUACGACAUUCGACAACUUUAUUUAAAAGGGGAUUGAUCAAGAAAUACAAGAAUAUAGAAAAGAAUAAUUCAGUUUUGUUGAGCGAGAAAAAGACUUUUUCAUUUUGCAUAUCUGCAAAACUGCAUGUAAAAUGUUAUAAAGUUACCGAUACUCAACGUAAAUUUAAAUCCUUGCAACAAUAAUCACAAAAUCAUCAAAAAAUCAAAAGGUGAAAUCUGUAAGAAAAGUAAUUACUGAAGCUUAAAAAAUUGCAAUAAUAAGCAGAACAGCAAUUAUCCCUCUUAUCGAAAUGGAAGCAGGGGCCAAAGUAAAGGAGUUACACGUGCUUCAACGUUGAAACUAGCACAGACUGGUUGGUCAAUUCUUCUCCCCCUUUCAGACAAGCCCCAUUGAAGAUGUGCUAAGCAGCUUUUAAUGUUAAAUUAUCGAGGACAACAGGGAAAUUCCAAUUCGAACUUAGCUUUGCAGACAAAGGGGUGCAGUGUAGGGUUGAAAUCGAAGACAAUAUAUACAGGAUACAAAUAAAAAAAAUAUUUCCCCUUAUAUACUAUAAAAAAUAAAUAUUCAUACAAAAUUAAAUAUUUCUUACACACCAUAAAAAAUAAAUAUUCGUACAGAAUUAAAUAUU